GGGGUCGUCGGCGAGGCCCGGAGGGUCGCUGGGCUUCUCCAGGAAGCCCUCGACGGUCCGGCCGUCCGGGCCGGGCGUGAUCACACC
rnacentral:tRNA from 1 species